rnacentral:lncRNA from 9 species
AUGGGCGCCCCGGGUCCAGGGCCCGCGGAGCCGCUCUCGGGGCGGAGACCUUGCCCCCAGGGGCACGUCAGCGGUCCUGAGGUGAGGCUCCUGCAGAGCACUCUGGGCCGCGUGUGUCUCUCCCUGCGUGGGCAGGCAGUGUCGGUGGCCGGAGCGAGGGUGUUUUCCCAUCGGGGUGAGAGGGAGAGCCCCAGGGUGGGCCUGGGGGCGGAAUCGGACUCGGGGUUGGGGUGGACUCUUCUGAAGCUGGGAGGGGUGCGGGUGGGCAGGGCCUUAGGGAGCCUGAGGGAGGCGCGGUUCCUGGGGGAAGGGUGUGGCGAGGCGGCGGCAGCCCGCGUGCGCUGUGGCGCCCCAGCGAAGGGGCAGUGCUGGCCACUCGUGUGGCCCUUUGGCUGCUGGCACCCAGUGAGAGGGGGGAGGCCAGGGACAGGUGGCAGCCAGGCUGCCCACAGGCCCUGGGCGGUGGGGGGCCCGGCCCCUGUGCCUUGGGCAGCCUGGCCCCUUGCUGAGGCGUGCUUGCGCGUGUCCGUUGUCGCCCUCACCCAGCUGCUGCGGCGGAGAGACGGAGGCCAGCGCGGGGAGCGGAAGCCGGAGCCUGUCGGGAGCGACCCCGGGAAGGCCAGUCCCUCCUGCCGGUGGGAGGCGUGUUGGCGUGCGGCCGGUGGCGGGAUCGAUGGCCACCUGGUAGGCGAUGCUGCUGCGGCGGAGAGACGGAGGCCAGCGCGGGGAGCGGAAGCCGGAGCCUGUCGGGAGCGACCCCGGGAAGGCCAGUCCCUCCUGCCGGAGGGAGGCGUGUUGGCGUGCGGCCGGUGGCGGGAUCGAUGGCCACCUGGUAGGCGAUGCUGCUGCGGCGGAGAGACGGAGGCCAGCGCGGGGAGCGGAAGCCGGAGCCUGUCGGGAGCGACCCCGGGAAGGCCAGUCCCUCCUGCCGGAGGGAGGCGUGUUGGCGUGCGGCCGGUGGCGGGAUCGAUGGCCACCUGGUAGGCGAUGCUGCUGUGGCGGAGAACGGAGGCCAGCGCGGGGAGCGGAAGCCGGAGCCUGUCGGGAGCGACCCCGGGAAGGCCAGUCCCUCCUGCCGGAGGGAGGCGUGUUGGCGUGCGGCCGGUGGCGGGAUCGAUGGCCACCUGGUAGGCGAUGCUGCUGCGGCGGAGAAACGGAGGCCAGCGCGGGGAGCGGAAGCCGGAGCCUGUCGGGAGCGACCCCGGGAAGGCCAGUCCCUCCUGCCGGAGGGAGGCGUGUUGGCGUGCGGCCGGUGGCGGGAUCGAUGGCCACCUGGUAGGCGAUGCUGCUGCGGCGGAGAAACGGAGGCCAGCGCGGGGAGCGGAAGCCGGAGCCUGUCGGGAGCAACCCCGGGAAGGCCAGUCCCUCCUGCCGGAGGGAGG